AGAGGCUGUUAUCUUAAUUUUGCUAGGGGCAUACUGUUUCAGAAAUAGAGUUUGUAAAGUAAAGCUUUUUCUGUCUGAAAGAACCUUGAAUAUGUGCAUAUACCUAUAGUGGGCAUCAAUCCAUCCAGGCUGCUUGUCAGCAGAAACUUGAUGGCAUGAGAAUCUCUUUUCUGAUGAUGCAGAGACCAAGAUCUGAUAACUGAGAUGUUGCUAAGCAGCUGGCAUGCUCCCUUGAUUUCAGAAGUCUUUUCCAAGUGCAUUAGUAUUACAAAUCAUUACCUGCAGAUCUUAAAGACUCGUUUCUCAGUCAUAGGCCUGCUAAUGUGAGCUUUCAGGCUCAAUUUGUGUUUUGUUUUAUAUAGGCCACUUUCCAUAAAGACCUGCAUUUCACAUUUCACUCAUUGUUUUCCCAUUUCAUUAUUUCCAGUGCAGUUUAGGGUAGAAAAAGGGAACUCUGUUUCUGCUUUUAUGGAAGCAAAUAUUUAUUUUUAACAUGAUGCCAUUCAUUCCUCAUUUGAUGACUUUUUAGUGUGUAAAAUUUUGUUAGAGAUACAGAUUAUUAAUCUGAAUGUUAGGAAUAUUAAAUAGCAUUUAUUAACGUUGUCAUUGCUGGAACUGAAGGUGUUGAGCUAUAAUGCUGUUAGUAUGAUGAAGGCUGGAUAGCUCUGUGCAUGCCACAUCAUGCCCACUGCACAUGCAUAGGUUGAUAUGGAUGGUGGUAUGCUGGAACUGCACCCGUGUUACCAGCCACACCCCUUCAGUUUUGUAUUUGGAUGCACUGGGCUCUUUGCAUAUGAAUGCCAUGGUGUAGUGCCUGUGUGUGCCCCUCUUUUCGUGUGGG
rnacentral:lncRNA from 1 species